AAUCCACUCCUUGCACAACUUAAUAAAAAGUAUCAGAAAACCAAUUUUGACAUCACCACCACCACCACUCCAACCCCUGUCCUUUUUCCCUUAUAGGAGAAAACUAAGGAACUCAAGAGGAGUCAUCAGAAUACCUGCCAUGUGGGAGACAUCAACCCCAUUGGUGACUUUUUUUCUGCAUCACAUAUUAGAGCAUGUAUUUGGAUUACUUAGAGCAAGCCAGGACAAUGAGAUUCAAUACUGAAACUUUAAUUCAAACUUGGAAAGAGGAUCUCUUUUCCAUGGGAUUGAAGCUGGAGCUCCUGAGAAGCUGCCUGAUGGAGAGUGCAACACAGAGCAAAGCAGACCUGAGACAUAGAGAGGAGGAAUUCCACUUUAACCUGUAGAUCCAACCAUGCCUGCAGCUGCGCUUGUUCACUGGGUAGAGCAGCUCGAGCUGCAGUAAAAAAAGAAAGGAUUCUCUCAGUUCUCUCAAGGAAACUGUCAAGAACAGCAGACUGUCCAAUAAUCAAGCAAACGCCCAAUUGCAAUACAGGAAUAAAGCCAAAUAACAGAUUUCUUCAAGUGUCAAGCAAAAAGACGUGCACACGCUUCUCGAGAUCCAGAUGCAAGGCCGGCGUCCUGGGCGUCCCUGCUCCGGCCGCUAGAGGGCGGUGCGCUGCUCGCUCACCUCCCUCCGCCUCCAGCGUAGCCUCCGAGCCCCUGGCCGCCCAGAGAAGGGGGCAGAGACGCCUUGUGGGCAGAUACACCCACGUCCGGAAGAGCUGA
rnacentral:lncRNA from 1 species